UGAGGUCAGGACGGGUAUGUAUGGGACCAGGAGGUGUGUAUGGGACCAGGAGGUGUGUAUGGGACCAGGAGGUGUGUAUUAAACAAGGAGGAGUGUGUGGGACCAAUCGAAGGUCUGUAUG